AUGGAUUCAGAAUGGUCUGAAUUAGCUUUUGAAGGUAUUUCCUUCAUGUUUCUGUCUGGCUAGUUAGAACCAGUGUCCAGGGGAUUGAUAUUUCUGUUUAAAAUCCCUUGGAUUUUAUGUUUAGAUGUGUGAGUUUGUUCAUGACUUGAAAUAGCCUCUUUUUGAGCUAUUUUGGAAUAUAUAGAUUCAAAAUGGUCUGAAUUAUAAUUUGAAGGUAUUUCCUUCAUAUUCCUAUCUGAAUAGUUAUAAACAAUGUCUAGGGGAGCAUCUGAAUUUUCCUGAACUCCAUGGUUCAGAUUUUGAAUUAUUUCAUGAUAUGAACUAUCAUCUUUCUGAUUUUUUUGAGCAUUUAUAUGUGGAAUUUCAUUAGAUUGCCUAUUUUUAUUGGUUUCCAAUGAAUCCUCAUACGUUUUGCUUUGUUCUAGGUUUUUUUUUGAAAAUUGAGUUUGGAUUGACUCAUUUCUUUUUUUUAUUUUGGAAUUUAAAUCUUCCUUUAGAGUCUGAAGAUGCCAUUCUCCUCUCUUUAUUUUUAUCUCAUCAGUUAGUGCCAAAAAUCAAUUUCCUCAUUUUCACACCAAUGCAAUUAAACAAUUAUAACAGGCUAUCUUCAUAACGAAAUUCAAGAAAAGAUGAAUAAUCAAAUUAAUCAUCUAUUGUUCUUUAAUUUUCUGUGUUUCUAUUUUCAAGUACCAUCUUGCUGAAUAGGACUUCUUAAUUUUUCUCUAGAGUUGUAUGAAUGGUUUAAAUCAAUUAGGGUCACAUUGAACUUCUUUACUAGGACCUCUCAAUUUUUUUAGGAUCAAGAUAUUAUCCUUUAAAUUUAUGUAGUAUUAUGCUUUAAAAAGUAGCUGUAAAUUUCUCAUAAUUUUAUUUGGGAUUGUAUGACUGGUUUAUAUCAAUUAGUGUGUUAUUUUCUUAAAAAAUAUCCAGCUGGUUUGAUGUUUCAUUCUCAGUGUCUUUAGUGUUUAGUGUUGAUUCUAUUUGUUGAAGAGUCUUGAUUUUGAGAACAUAAGUUUAGAAAAGGAUAUAUAGUGUUAUUAGAACAUAAUAUCGAGUCUCUUUAGAUAUAUAAGUUCCCAAUUCCUAAUAUUUUUAAAAUCUUUUAGAUUUUCGAUUGCUAAGACAUAUAAGUAAGUCUUAGAGUUCAAUAAAACUAAUGCAAUUGAAAUGUCUUGAUUCUCUUUUACCGGCAUUGAAAUGUCUUGAUUCUCUUUAAUUUUAUAUUCUUAAUGUUUAUAGACAAAAUGAUUAUAAAAUUCUUGAGAUGACCUUUACUUUUGGUUUGAGGGUUUUUAUCCUCUAUUUUAUUAAUUUCAAUUGGAAAUAUAUUUUCCCUAAUAUUUUGUUGUUCUUCAUUGCAAAACACCAGGUCUGAGCAUUUCUGACUUAUUGUGUUCCAAUUGUUUUGGGUGUUUUCAUCCAAGUCUGAGCUAUCUUUGGAUGCUUCUGAGGUUUGUAUAUUACUUUGACUUGUUUUAUCCUUUUUACAACUGUCUCAGACUUAAAAUAGCCUCUUUUUGAGCUAUUUUGCAAUUUAUAGAUUCAAAAUGGUCUGAAUUAUAAUUUGAAUGUAUUUCCUUCAUAUUCCUAUCUGAAUAGUUAUAAACAAUGUCUAGGGGAGCAUCUGAAUUUCCCUGAACUCCAUGGUUCAGAUUUUGAAUUAUUUCAUGAUAUGAACUACCAUCUUUCUGAUUUUUUUGAGCAUUUCCUCUUUCUCUUUGUUUUUUUGUCCUAAUUUUUCUAUUAUUUUCUUCUGAAUAUGACAUCUAAAAUUAUGCUUCUUAAGGUAACUGGACCUGGUUUCUAGGAUUUUUUUUAGCUGUUUUAUGGUUUAUGAAUUCAGAAUGGUCUGAAUUAGCUUUUGAAGGUAUUUCCUUCAUGUUUCUGUCUGAAUAGUUAUGAACAAUGUCUAGGGGAGCUUCUGAAUUUUCCUGAACUCCAUGGUUCAGAUUUUGAAUUAUUUCAUGAUAUGAACUACCAUCUUUCUGAUUUUAGAUAUAGAAAUUAAAAAAUUUCAUAUUUCUAGAAAUGUGCUAAUGAUGGGGUUACUGGAUUAUGCUUUAUAGGGUUACUGGAUUCUAAUUUACAUCUACUGAAUUCUGUUUUCAGACCUAGAGAUUGAAUAAUCCUUGUGGUUUCCUCUUUCUCUUUGUUUUUUUGUCCUAAUUUUUCUAUUAUUUUCUUCUGAAUAUGACAUCUAAAAUUAUGCUUCAUAAGGUAACUGGACCUGGUUUCCAAUGAAUUUCAUUAGAUUUUUUUAGCUGUUUUAUGGUUUACGAAUUCAGAAUGGUCUGAAUUAGCUUUUGAAGGUAUUUCCUUCAUGUUUCUGUCUGGCUAGUUAGAACCAGUGUCCAGGGGAUUGAUAUUUCUGCUUAAAAUCCCUUGGAUUUUAUGUUUAGAUGUGUGAGUUUGUUCAUGACUUAAAAUAGCCUCUUUUUGAGCAUCAGAAUUUUCCUGAACUCCAUGGUUCAGAUUUUGAAUUAUUUCAUGAUAUGAACUACCAUCUUUCUGAUUUUUUUGAGCAUUUAUAUGUGGAAUUUCAUUAGAUUGCCUAUUAUUAUUGGUUUCCAAUGAAUCCUCAUACGUUUUGCUUUGUUCUAGGUUUUUUUUUGAAAAUUGAGUUUGGAUUGACUCAUUUCUUUUUUUAUUUUUUUAUUUUAAUCUUCCUUUAUAGUCUGAAGAUGCCAUUCUCCUCUCCUUAUUUUUAUCUCAUUAGUUAGUGCCAAAAAUCAAUUCUGUUUUCAGACCUAUAGAUUGAAUAAUCCUUGUGGUUUCCUCUUUCUUUUUGUUUUUUUGUCCUAAUUUUUCUAUUACUUUCUUCUGAAUAUCACAUCUAAAAUUAUGCUUCAUAAGGUAACUGGACCUGGUUUCUAGGAUUUUUUUUAGCUGUUUUAUGGUUUACGAAUUCAGAAUGGUCUGAAUUAGCUUUUGAAGGUAUUUCCUUCAUGUUUCUGUCUGGCUAGUUAGAACCCGUGUCCAGGGGAUUGAUAUUUCUGUUUAAAAUCCCUUGGAUUUUAUGUUUAGAUGUGUGAGUUUGUUCAUGACUUAAAAUAGCCUCUUUUUGAGCUAUUUUGGAAUUUAUAGAUUCAAAAUGGUCUGAAUUAAAAUUUGAAGGUAUUUCCUUCAUAUUCCUAUCUGAAUAGUUAUAAACAAUGUCUAGGGGAGCAUCUGAAUUUUCCUGAACUCCGUGGUUCAGAUUUUGAAUUAUUUCAUGAUAUGAACUACCAUCUUUCUGAUUUUUUUGAGCAUUUAUAUGUGGAAUUUCAUUAGAUUGCCUAUUUUUAUUGGUUUCCAAUGAAUCCUCAUACGUUUUGCUUUGUUCUAGGUUUUUUUUUGAAAAUUGAGUUUGGAUUGACUCAUUUCUUUUUUUAUUUUGGAAUUUAAAUCUUCCUUUAGAGUCUGAAGAUGCCAUUCUCCUCUCUUUAUUUUUAUCUCAUCAGUUAGUGCCAAAAAUCAAUUUCCUCAUUUUCACACCAAUGCAAUUAAACAAUUAUAACAGGCUAUCUUCAUAACGAAAUUCAAGAAAAGAUGAAUAAUCAAAUUAAUCAUAUAUUGUUCUUUAAUUUUCUGUGUUUCUAUUUUCAAGUACCAUCUUGCUGAAUAGGACUUCUUAAUUUUUCUCUAGAGUUGUAUGAAUGGUUUAAAUCAAUUAGGGUCACAUUGAACUUCUUUACUAGGACCUCUCAAUUUUUUUACGAUCAAGAUAUUAUCCUUUAAAUUUAUGUAGUAUUAUGCUUUAAAAAGUAGCUGUAAAUUUCUCAUAAUUUUAUUUGGGAUUGUAUGACUGGUUUAUAUCAAUUAGUGUGUUAUUUUCUUAAAAAAUAUCCAGCUGGUUUGAUGUUUCAUUCUCAGUGUCUUUAGUGUUUAGUGUUGAUUCUAUUUGUUGAAGAGUCUUGAUUUUGAGAACAUAAGUUUAGAAAAGGAUAUAUAGUGUUAUUAGAACAUAAUAUCGAGUCUCUUUAGAUAUAUAAGUUCCCAAUUCCUAAUAUUUUUAAAAUCUUUUAGAUUUUCGAUUGCUAAGACAUAUAAGUAAGUCUUAGAGUUCAAUAAAACUAAUG
rnacentral:lncRNA from 1 species